CCAGACUCCUACGGGAGGCAGCAGUGAGGAAUAUUGGUCAAUGGGAGGAAUCCUGAACCAGCCAUGCCGCGUGCAGGACGACGGCUCUACGAGUUGUAAACUGCUUUUGUACCGGGGUAAAAUGCCUUACGAGUAGGGUUUUGAAAGUACGGUACGAAUAAGGAUCGGCUAACUCCGUGCCAGCAGCCGCGGUAAUACGGAGGAUCCGAGCGUUAUCCGGAUUCAUUGGGUUUAAAGGGUGCGUAGGUUGUUUUAUAAGUUAGCGGUGAAAUACCGAUGCUCAACAUCGGGGCUGCCGCUAAUACUGUAGGACUAGAGAUCGGAUGCAGCAGGCGGAAUGUGUAGUGUAGCGGUGAAAUGCGUAGAUAUUAGGAGGAACACCAGUUGCGAAGGCGGCUCUCUGGACUGUAACUGACGCUGAGGCACGAAAGCGUGGGGAGCAAACAGGAUUAGAUACCCCCGUA
rnacentral:rRNA from 1 species